GGUAGAAAGAAUUUGUAACUCAUUUGUUAGGCUAUUAGUGUUGAGCUUCUCCAUAUUUAGUUGUGUGGAUUUUCAGUAGCAAACUCAUAUGUUCACUUAGACUAUAUUAGAAAGUGUGAACUUUAGAUUUACUCCACCCUGCUUAGCCUAGCAAUCAGGAAUGUAUACACCCCUACUUAAGGAUUAAGUGUUGAGAAGGAGGGCCUACGACAGACAUGUGCUAGCAAGUGAUAAAUCAGAAACAACUGACAGAUCCCCUGGGCUGUCCUGUCAAGCUUAAGCUACCAUUGGUACAUCUGAGACACAGGAAAUGAUAUAAAAAACGGUCUAUAUAUUUUGUGUCACUUGCUCUUUCCAACCUCUUUUCACAGAGAGGUGGCUCUGACUCUUUUUUUUUUGCAGCGGAGAUGUGGCUGGUGGCAGCAUGCUGGGCAUCUUGGCAUUUUGGCGUUCUUGCAGCUCUUGUCCAGGAUUGGUGUGAGCAUGCUAGGGAUAGGUUUUGGCCUGAUGAGAACCCCCUGCCAGGAAAGCCCUCCUAUUGUCAUCAAAGGAAUGAGUAAAAACAAUCAUCAUAGAACCCGAAGGACAAAACCAAGAUUGUCCUCCACUAGAGGAAACAAAUGA
rnacentral:lncRNA from 1 species